rnacentral:rRNA from 1 species
CAGCCGCCGCGGUAAUACGAAGGGUGCAAGCGUUAAUCGGAAUUACUGGGCGUAAAGCGUGCGUAGGCGGUGAGUUAAGCCUGCUGUGAAAUCCCCGGGCUCAACCUGGGAAUGGCAGUGGAUACUGGCUCGCUAGAGUGUGUCAGAGGAUGGUGGAAUUCCCGGUGUAGCGGUGAAAUGCGUAGAGAUCGGGAGGAACAUCAGUGGCGAAGGCGGCCAUCUGGGACAACGCUGACGCUGAGGCACGAAAGCGUGGGGAGCAAACAGGAUUAGAUACCCGCGUAGUCCCUGUCUCUUAUAC